ACCAAGGAGUCUAGCAUGUGCGCGAGUCAUUGGGACCCGCUAAGCCCAGAGGCGUAAUGAAAGUGAAGGUCCGCCUUGCGCGGACCGAGGGAGGAUGGGCCGUCCCGCGGGCCGGCCCCGCACUCCCGGGGCGUCUCGCUCUCAUCGCGAGAAGAGGCGCACCCAGAGCGUACACGCUGGGACCCGAAAGAUGGUGAACUAUGCCUGGUCAGGACGAAGUCAGGGGAAACCCUGAUGGAGGUCCGUAGCGAUUCUGACGUGCAAAUCGAUCGUCGGAACUGGGUAUAGGGGCGAAAGACCAAUCGAACCAUCUAGUAGCUGGUUCCCUCCGAAGUUUCCCUCAGGAUAGCUGGCGCUCGCCGUGUGCGAGUCUCAUCCGGUAAAGCGAAUGAUUAGAGGCAUUGGGGUCGAAACGGCCUCAACCUAUUCUCAAACUUUAAAUGGGUGAGAUCUCCGGCUUGCUUGAAACGUGAAGCCGCGAGAUUUCGGAUCAGAGUGCCAAGUGGGCCACUUUUGGUAAGCAGAACUGGCGCUGUGGGAUGAACCAAACGCAGAGUUAAAGCGCCUAAAUCGACGCUUAUGGGAUACCAUGAAAGGCGUUGGUAACUUAAGACAGCAGG
rnacentral:rRNA from 1 species